GAUGAACGCUGGCGGCGUGCCUAAUACAUGCAAGUCGAGCGAACAGACGAGGAGCUUGCUUCUCUGAUGUUAGCGGCGGACGGGUGAGUAACACGUGGAUAACCUACCUAUAAGACUGGGAUAACUUCGGGAAACCGGAGCUAAUACCGGAUAAUAUAUUGAACCGCAUGAUUCAAUAGUGAAAGACGGUCUUGCUGUCACUUAUAGAUGGAUCCGCGCUGCAUUAGCUAGUUGGUAAGGUAACGGCUUACCAAGGCAACGAUGCGUAGCCGACCUGAGAGGGUGAUCGGCCACACUGGAACUGAGACACGGUCCAGACUCCUACGGGAGGCAGCAGUAGGGAAUCUUCCGCAAUGGGCGAAAGCCUGACGGAGCAACGCCGCGUGAGUGAUGAAGGUCUUCGGAUCGUAAAACUCUGUUAUUAGGGAAGAACAUAUGUGUAAGUAACUGUGCACAUCUUGACGGUACCUAAUCAGAAAGCCACGGCUAACUACGUG
rnacentral:rRNA from 1 species